UACGUAGGGGGCAAGCGUUGUCCGGAUUUAUUGGGCGUAAAGAGCGUGUAGGCGGCCAGGUAGGUCUGCUGUGAAAACUCGAGGCUCAACCUCGAGAUGUCGGCGGAAACCAUCUGGCUAGAGUCCGGAAGAGGAGAAUGGAAUUCCCGGUGUAGCGGUGAAAUGCGCAGAUAUCGGGAAGAACACCCGUGGCGAAGGCGGUUCUCUGGUACGUGACUGACGCUGAGACGCGAAAGCGUGGGGAGCGAACAGG
rnacentral:rRNA from 1 species